UACGGAGGGUGCGAGCGUUAAUCGGAAUUACUGGGCGUAAAGCGCAUGCAGGCGGUUUGUUAAGUCAGAUGUGAAAGCCCGGGGCUCAACCUCGGAACCGCAUUUGAAACUGGCAGGCUAGAGUCUUGUAGAGGGGGGUAGAAUUUCAGGUGUAGCGGUGAAAUGCGUAGAGAUCUGAAGGAAUACCAGUGGCGAAGGCGGCCCCCUGGACAAAGACUGACGCUCAGAUGCGAAAGCGUGGGUAGCAAACAGG
rnacentral:rRNA from 1 species